GGGAGUGUAGCUCAGUGGUAGAGCAUCAUGUACCUGGCAUGCCUGACGCCCUGGGUUCAAUUGCCAGCACCCCA
rnacentral:tRNA from 1 species